AUUGGCAGCCUGCCAAGAUUCUGAGCAGUUAGCCCCUCCCAACUGAUUGACCAAACCUACUCCCAACUGGUUUCAAACUUCCCUGCGGGCUACAACUGACAACCUGGACAUAAAUAGAUGAGGUCUGACAAAAAGGCAUCAAUAAAUUUGGACAAUGCAGUAGUACCUAGGAAAGAAGACAAAAGUAGAAUGACUUGGGCAAUCAGAACAUUGCAGCAGGAAUCCAAAAAAACUGUUAGAGCCAGGAUCUGUUGUUGUUAGACGUUCAAGCAAGUCUUGAUGUCCAAGUGAGACUGAAUACUGCCAGGAUCUAGAUACAGGAAUUCUUCCUCAGUUCAACAGGAAAAUCCUCUUCAUACCUUCCUCUCAACUUCCUCAGGAGACCAGAAGAAAGUCAGCUGGACAAGAUGGAAUCUUCCCAGAUCCUGUAGCUCAGGCUCCCAUGGUCACACACCACUGUCAAUCAUACCUAGGUUUGCAUUUUUUCAGUUUUUGCACAGUUUCGCAAAUUGCAAACCUUUCCAUCCUUUUUAUCACAGUACCAUGAUUUUUCUAGAUUCCUUUGGUCAUGCCUCUAC
rnacentral:lncRNA from 1 species